GCCCCGGUGGCAUAUCGGUUUAAGUGCGCGCACCAUAAAGGCUGCGUCCUUCCCGCGGCGACCCAGGUUCGAUUCCUGCUCGGGUUA